GUGCUCGCUUUGGCAGUACAUGUACUAAAACUGGAACAAUACAGAGAUUAGCAUGGUUCCUUCGCAAGGGUGACAUGCAAAUUCAUGAAGCCCUUUUGUAGUUU
ensembl:snRNA U6 U6 spliceosomal RNA